rnacentral:rRNA from 1 species
CGGACGGGUGAGUAACACGUGGAUAACCUACCUAUAAGACUGGGAUAACUUAGGGAAACCGGAGCUAAUACCGGAUAAUAUUUUGAACCGCAUGGUUCAAAAGUGAAAGACGGUCUUGCUGUCACUUAUAGAUGGAUCCGCGCUGCAUUAGCUAGUUGGUAAGGUAACGGCUUACCAAGGCAACGAUGCAUAGCCGACCUGAGAGGGUGAUCGGCCACACUGGAACUGAGACACGGUCCAG